UUUUAAAUGGCCGCAGUAUUUUGACUGUGCAAAGGUAGCAUAAUCAUUAGUUUUUUAAUUAAAAGCUUGUAUGAAAGGCUGGACGAGGUAAAAUCUGUCUCUAUUUAAAUUAUAGUAGAAUUUAACUUUUAAGUUAAAAGGCUUAAAUAUUAUUAAAAGACGAGAAGACCCUAUAGAUCUUUAUAAUUUAUUAAAUUAAAUUAAUUUAGAAAUAUUUAUGUUUUAUUUAAUUAAGUUAUUUUAUUGGGGUAAUAAAAAGAUUGAAUUAAUUCUUUUUUAUAAUAAACAUUAAUUUAUGAAUAUUAAUGAUCCAGUUUUACUGAUUAUAAGAUUAAGUUACCUUAGGGAUAACAGCGUAAUUUUUUUAGAGAGUUCAUAUCGAUAAAAAAGUUUGCGACCUCGAUGUUGGAUUAAAGAUUAUUUUAGGUGUAGAAGCUUAAUAAUUUUGGUCUGUUCGACCAUUAAAUCUUUACAUGAUCUGAGUUCAGACCGGCGUAAGCCAGGUCGGUUUCUAUCUUUAAUAAAAUAAAAUAUUUUAGUACGAAAGGACCAAAUAUUUAAUAUAUUUAUAUUUAAUUUAUUGAAUAUUA
rnacentral:rRNA from 1 species